CAGCAUCCCCAGCAGGUAGAGCGCCAGGCUGAGCAGGAUGGUGCCGAACUUGCCCAGCAGGGCGUCGGCCAGCCAGCCGCCGAAGGGCGAGACCAGUCCUACAGGCAUGCACACCCCUUUACUUGAAAGAUGAAAUGAUAGAUUCAGGAUCUUAUGUGGUAAUUAAACACUCAACAAAACAAGGGAUAACAACAAAGAAUGGGACAAGUGGAUUGAGGGAGAAUGGUAUAACAGAAAAGAAUCAUGAUUUUACACACAAUUUAUGUCAAGCAAGUAUGUUAUGAGUUCCUCUUUGGAAAUAAAUUUUGGCCAUAAACAAUGAAA